rnacentral:misc_RNA from 1 species
GGAGUUCAUCAACCGGCUUUGCCUGAAAAAGAAGAGUCUUUUCUCUCAUGCCUCUUCGGCCAAUCUGACAAUUAUUGCAACGAUAGUAGUGGUUGGCUUGCUGGCAUAAAGAUCCAGUGCGAUUGUAGCCAUAAGAAUAGCACAGUUUGCCACGUCACGGAGUUUGGUGAAUUAGGGAUGGUGCAUGGAUUCACUGGUCCUGGACCACUAUUUGGGUAUGCCCUUAAUAAAUCAUGAAUAAGAAAACAUAGGGAUACAUCCUGGAUGGAGCAAGAUAAAGACUUCCAAGGUAGAAUGCUGCUAACUUAUCUUUCAUAGGUAAAGUCUCUCUCACUCACAUUUGUGGGAGACCUAACCUUUUUGGUGACAGAAAUCAUCCUAGUUGGUCUUAAAUUGAAGCUCUUGAUAUGAGAAAUCUAUUGGUGGUCUUGGAUCGAUUAAGGGAUUCCUAGUUCGGCCGAGAUCUAGCCAAAAAUUUGCAAAGGCUAUUUUUCUUCCCUCUUCGAUCUGCAUGGUUUCUGUGACUGUUGGUGAUAAGGCUCGUCGAAAAGCUUUUCCAUAUCGAGGUGCAUCGAAUGGGGGUGGUGGCAUGGAUGGAUGAUGGCUUGAACGACGGGUUUAUCCUAGUGGGUCCGAGGGUUGACUUAGCGCAUUUUGCAAGAUUUCAAUGUUCUCCGAUGGGUUUCUUAGCCUUUGUCUGGGAGGCUCGCCGAGGAAGAGGAAGUGCAUUUAGGAUGAUAGGCGAUUGUGGGUGUGGCUAGAAGGGGAAAGCUAAAAGGGGGAGAAAUUGGGAGCAGAGAGAUUGCAUGGGGGGAUGCAGAGGGAAGAAAAAGCCAAGUGGGCCAUGUCAUAACUUCACCCUUUUAUUUUUGCAAAAUUACAUUUUGGUCCUGCAUAAAACUUUUAUUUAAAGAGGUCCAAAUACUUUUCAACUAAGCCCUUGAACUUAGUUUCUUCAAUUUUGCCCCGAUCAUUUUCCCUCUUUCUCUUCUCCCUUUUAGGGAUGAUUUAAAUAAACAUA